GGAUGACGAUGACUCAUCGCCGGCACGAGCCCCGAUAAGGAUUACACGAGACGCAUACAUUCGUCGCGUGUAUCCGAGGAUACGCGUCUUCGAACGCUCAUUUUCUCGUCGAGCAUUUACCGCUAAACGAGCUUGUCUCUCGUGUGUUCCUCAUUUCGCGUCAGCGUCGCGGAUGACAUGAGUCGUCGUCUGAAAUGAUGACAUAAAUCGUUGCAGUUUAGCGAACGGUCGGAGUAUCAGUGAUUUUGUCGAACCGUGGAGGAAAAAAUAACAGGCAAACCCGUUUUCUAGUAAAGUGAGUAGUACGACACACGACACAAGGUAUCAGAAUCGUUCGAAAAGAUAUGUGCUUAGUCUACGGUUGCGACACAAAAUGAAGCUGAUAUGACACUCCGUCUGCGAAGAUACGAAGAAGACGGCGUAGCUGUGAUUAACGUCGAUUAACGGCCGAUCGCACCUUAUUGCUGUCAUCUAGAAUCCGACUGCAGCCGUGGUCUGCUGCAAGCUGCAACCCAACUCGUUAUUCGUCGUCUAUUUACAGCCUCGCUUGUAAUACAUACACGCGGAAAAGUAACAUCCAGUUAAGUUAUAAUUAGUGUCGAUGUAACAGUCCUGGGAAAAGUUGUCACUGUGACGUGUGACAUGAAAACGAAAGUAUGAAACAUGAUACUGUUGGAAAAUAUCAAAGAUAGUAAGGAGUAAAUUAUACAUAUACAUACUUCCAAGAUUUAGUUUUCUGAUAUACGUACGAGUGUGCAUAUCGCGAUUAUAUCGCUCGACGUGCAAAAUAUAUCUUAAUGAAUCUGACGAUUUUUCAAGGAAAAACGCACGUUUUGUUCUUUCGCCAACCUAUUAUUUGCCUUAAGAAGAAGUAACUUCACAUAUAGAACUAAAAAUAUCAUUCAAAAUAAAAUAGAUGCAAAAGAAAAUAUGAUGAAAGUACCUGAUUCCCAUAUUAAAAUUAUAAUAUGCACUAGUAAACAUCAAGUACUAGUAAACAUCCCAUAAAAAACGCCCGGAUUUUCUAAGGUUUCCUUCGAUUCAUUUCUCAUUCGGGAAAUAAAAAGCCGAAACAAUCUACGUUUAUAUUUUCUUUUUUUAUCUCAAAUUCUGGACUCAUUGUCAGUCAAGUACAAAACAUAUAUGAGCAAGAAUCGCUUCGUAUAAGUAAUGAUUUCCUCUCUUGUUUUCGAUUCUCCAAGAAUGGAAAUAUAUAUAAUCUUUGCAUUUUCUUCGUCGUGCUUUUGGUCGCGACGAUUAAGAGGAACCUUGUGGCGCCCGACUCUCGCAAAAAACGUAGGCCAGAAUUAACUGGUCAAGGCUGUCCGGUGGAAACGACCUCGGACUCGGACGUCUUCCCGUACGUUGUCGCCGUUAGCGGGUCAAGUUCAAGAUACAUUAGGAACUUAAUAUUCGAGGUACCUGAAAGAUAUGAAAGAAAGAAAGAGAGAGAGAGAGAGAGAGAGAGAGAGAGAGAGAGAGAGAGAAACGAGGGGAAUAAUAACAGAUAUGUUACUUCAUUCUCCUCUCUUAUCUCUAUAUGAAGUCAUUUUAUUGCCUCACGCGCGUAUCUUAACUUUCAUUAACAAUAGAUAAUUAUUUAUCAGAGUUCACAGCUCCCGUUUCUCGAAAGAAAAAUGAAAACUCGAUAAAAAUUUCUACGUCAACAUCUCCAGAACGGUUUUCCGUUCGGUUCGCAGAGAAUGCAGAAAGGUGAACGUAAACCCUUCACUAUCUCUAGGCGACCACCUGCCGACGCGCAGGCCACACCCUCUCGCGGCUAUAGCGGCGAACCGAGAGGAAAUCGCACGCGCGCGCGGCGCGGGGAGGCGCUCGGCGCUCCCCGCCGUCCACCUGUCAGGAAUCGCGUCUGCAAUUCAACGAGUUUUGGAAUACGGAGUACGGAUCGCCCGGUACUCCGAUUACUCCGAGGGAUAA